rnacentral:rRNA from 1 species
GACGAACGCUGGCGGCGUGCCUAAUACAUGCAAGUAGAACGCUGAAGAGAGGAGCUUGCUCUUCUUGGAUGAGUUGCGAACGGGUGAGUAACGCGUAGGUAACCUGCCUUGUAGCGGGGGAUAACUAUUGGAAACGAUAGCUAAUACCGCAUAACAAUGGAUGACACAUGUCAUUUAUUUGAAAGGGGCAAUUUCUCCACUACAAGAUGGACCUGCGUUGUAUUAGCUAGUAGGUGAGGUAAUGGCUCACCUAGGCGACGAUACAUAGCCGACCUGAGAGGGUGAUCGGCCACACUGGGACUGAGACACGGCCCAGACUCCUACGGGAGGCAGCAGUAGGGAAUCUUCGGCAAUGGGGGCAACCCUGACCGAGCAACGCCGCGUGAGUGAAGAAGGUUUUCGGAUCGUAAAGCUCUGUUGUAAGUCAAGAACGGGUGUGAGAGUGGAAAGUUCACACUGUGACGGUAGCUUACCAGAAAGGGACGGCUAACUACGUG